rnacentral:rRNA from 1 species
GAUGAACGCUAGCGGCAGGCUUAACACAUGCAAGUCGAGGGGCAGCACGUCUUCGGAUGGUGGCGACCGGCGCACGGGUGCGUAACGCGUAUAGAACCUACCUUUUACAGGGGAAUAGCCCAGAGAAAUUUGGAUUAAUGCCCCAUAGUAUUAUUGAAUGGCAUCAUUUAAUAAUUAAACAUUUAUGGGUAAAAGAUGGCUAUGCGUUCUAUUAGCUAGUAGGUAAGGUAACGGCUUACCUAGGCAACGAUAGAUAGGGGUCCUGAGAGGGAGAUCCCCCACACUGGUACUGAGACACGGACCAGACUCCUACGGGAGGCAGCAGUGAGGAAUAUUGGACAAUGGGCGAGAGCCUGAUCCAGCCAUGCCGCGUGCAGGAAGACGGUCCUAUGGAUUGUAAAACUGCUUUUUAUACAGGAAGAAAACACUCGGACGUGUCCGAGCUUGACGGUACUGUAUGAAUAAGCACCGGCUAACUCCGUGCCAGCAGCCGCGGU